GUGAAUGUCACUGAUAUGACUGCCAGCCACUUCCCCUCUCAACAUGCCCGCAACGAUGCACCUCACUCUGCUGGUGUCCCUGUUAACAGCGACAGUCAUCAGUGGUUUUUCACCCGACUGGGAAAAAGAUGACCUGGCGUCAAACCCCGGCCUAGUCGCUAUCAUUUGCAUCUUCUGUAUCGUCCUCGCCCUCGUUCUCGUGGUACUCACAGUGAAAUGUAUCCGAUCGCCGAGAUCCAAUUUUGAGAGGCUCGAAGAUAUGCCGAUGGGCAAAGUGAAUGAGGAGUCUCCGUUCGCCCACUACUCGAAAUGACAGAAUGCCCUUGUGGACGCCGAAGGCCCGGGACGGGUCCAACCUGCCGAACGACUCUGACAUCAUCAGGCUCGGCUUUACGUAGCACUUUAUUCAAUGCCAGUGAAAUAUUUUGGCCUCAUUCAUUUUGGUUUUAAUUAAGUGUAAUCAGCUAACUACAACUGUCGCUUCCUCCAUAGUAAAAUCUGAAAAUCAGCCUGAAAGGUAAACCUUCAUACAUAACGCUUGCUAAACUGGUGACAUGUAUAAUCUUGUAAGCACUACAACUCAGAUUUACACUGGUGAUUUAAUAAGAGUGCAGAUUUCGAUUUUACAUAACGCUUUAACAAAGUCAUAACUGGAAUGUACAAGUGUACAAAUGUGAUCUUAUCUGGAGUGGCAUAUAUGAUGUAUGAAUUGUGGGGUCUGAGGUCUUCUGUGCAAGCAAAGCUCAGACGCAAAAAGUCACAGUGCUGAGCACAUGUUUUAGACCACCGGCCAGUGUAAGGUUUAUGCCAUAGCUGUUAUAAAUUAACAAUUCUGGUACUUACCAAAAUCAUUUUUUAAUGAUUCUGUAAUAGUUAAACCACCAGUGUGCUCUUAAAUUAAGAUCAUAUUUUUAAUGCUAAAAUAUAAAUAUUGUUGUUAUAAAAAUAGAAUAAAAAGAGUAAAGGCAUCAUUAGUUUAUGAUUAAAUUAACUUUGAUUAAAACCUACUUACUUGCAUUCUUGAACAGAACAAUUACUGCUUGAACGUCAUGCUUGAUUAAUUUCUGACUUCCUACAGACAUCCUCAGUGUUUUAAACUUGUUUUAAAUGAGCUUUUUGGCACAGUUCAAAAAUAUUUUUCUUUUGUUUUUCUAAUAGCAGGUAGUCUAAUAAAUGUGUUAUGCACUGGAAAUAUCAGAAAAACUGUGGGGCCACUGACAGAAUCUUUAUGGUUAAAACACUAAACAAUAGGCUCAUGUUCUUAUUACUGAUAGAAAAAAUACUUGUGUAUUUGUAUGCACUAAAACAGGUACCGCUAAUUAUUUCUAUGUUCACUCUAAAAUUAAUAUCAGGCCAUUCACAUUAGUCACAUCAGAAAUGUUUCCAGGUUCAGGAAAAUCUCGGGACUCAUUUCCAACAAAAACACGUGCAAUUCUACUUUGUCUUGCUAAUCUUGAUGAAUGUAAACAGAUUUGCUUAUGCUUAUAAACAGAUUCAAAUAUAGAAUUGGAUCCUUUCUGCUUUAAAUGCCUUAAUAAUUAAUAUCCCUGAGCUAGCCUGCACAAAAAUGAUAAAAGUCAUAUUUCUAGACAUUUUAAUUGUGGCUCAAAGUAACUUUUUUCAUGAAAUGCUGUCACACUGAGUCUGUGUGGCAAAUCUGCUAUCCUACACUCAAUUUUGCAGUGACUUGAAUGCUUUCCUGCCAUUUCAACAAAAUGAUUUAAUAAGUCAGUGUUUUGUAAAUCGGGACGAUGACAUGCUGUGUACCAACUACAUAAUUGUGAUGUUUUAAUGAAAAUAAAAACCUUGAUGUGGUGUUUUUCA
ensembl:lncRNA